UACGUAGGCAGCGAGCGUUGUUCGGAAUUACUGGGCGUAAAGAGUGUGUAGGCGGCGCUCUAAGUUCGGUGUGAAAUCUCUCGGCUUAACUGGGAGGGUGCGCCGGAAACUGGAGUGCUCGAACGUGGGAGAGGAAAGCGGAAUUCCUGGUGUAGCGGUGAAAUGCGUAGAUAUCAUGAGGAAUACCAGAGGCGAAGGCGGCUACCUGGACAAUUGCUGACGCUCAGGCACGAAAGCGUGGGGAGCAAAAGGG
rnacentral:rRNA from 1 species